rnacentral:tRNA from 1 species
AAGUUUAGGUUAAUCCAAACUCAAACCAAGGACCUUCAAAGCCCUAAAUAGGGACCACACCCCCUAACUUCUG